rnacentral:rRNA from 1 species
GACGUAGGGGGCGAGCGUUGUCCGGAUUUAUUGGGCGUAAAGCGUGCGUAGGCGGCUGCGCAAGUCGGUGGUGAAACCCCGGGGCUCAACCCCGGAACUGCAUCCGAUACUGCGUGGCUAGAGGUAGGUAGGGGAGAUCGGAAUUCCUGGUGUAGCGGUGAAAUGCGCAGAUAUCAGGAGGAACACCGGUGGCGAGGGCGGCUCACUGGACUGGUACUGACGCUGAUGCGCGAAAGCGUGGGGAGCAAACAGG